UACGGAGGGGGCUAGCGUUGUUCGGAAUUACUGGGCGUAAAGCGCACGUAGGCGGCGAUCUAAGUCAGAGGUGAAAGCCCGGGGCUCAACCCCGGAAUAGCCUUUGAGACUGGAUUGCUAGAAUCUUGGAGAGGCGGGUGGAAUUCCGAGUGUAGAGGUGAAAUUCGUAGAUAUUCGGAAGAACACCAGUGGCGAAGGCGACACACUGGCCCGUUACUGACGCUGAGGCGCGAAAGCGUGGGGAGCAAACAGG
rnacentral:rRNA from 1 species